CACAUGCAAGUCGAACGGGAAGUGGUGUUUCCAGUGGCGAACGGGUGAGUAACGCGUAAGAACCUGCCCUUGGGAGGGGAACAACAACUGGAAACGGUUGCUAAUACCCCGUAGGCUGAGGAGCAAAAGGAGAAAUCCGCCCAAGGAGAGGCUCGCGUCUGAUUAGCUAGUUGGUGAGGCAAUAGCUUACCAAGGCGAUGAUCAGUA
rnacentral:ncRNA from 1 species